GCUGGGAAAUGCGCAAGGGCCGUCGGGAAAGGCAGAGCCAGGGAAGCAGAUCCUGACCUUCCGGGGGCAGCCGCACUGCGGGGCGCGCUCCGCUCCGGGGGCUGCGGCUUCACCUUCGCUGCUCCUGGGGUGUGUUGGUGUUUGCUCGCUGUGGGAGGACGGUUUGGUAACGUGUGUGGUCAUGACGGUGGCUGUGGGGCUUCCUUGGACCUUACAGAUCCUUCAGGAGAAAUUGUAUCUGGUGUGUGGUGAAGCCUUUUGGACAGUACAGAGCUUGCCUAUGUCAUGAGGCAGGAAGAAGAGGAUUUUAUCAUGGGCACACUGCAUGUGGAGAUGCGAAGUGACCUUCAGAGAGUAAGUUAAUUUGAACAGGCUGUUCCAACAGCCUGUUUCUGUGCCCUAGGAUCAUGUCAUGACUAUCAGCAGAACCAGGUAGGACUGGGAUCAGGGCUGUGGGAGUACUCUGGGCUAGCUCUGAGAGUGCAGUCGUGCUCUGGCACCAAGGCAGUUGUGACUGUGUUUGUGUGCAUACCUCUGUGCGUUUCUUGUAAGAUCACAUCAGUAACUUAUCUCAUUUGACCACUAUGAUUUUGAUCUAAUACUUGUAGCCGAAAGGCAACUUUUGUUGUUGGCAGUCCAUUGCCUAAUGUGCAACCAAUACACAAAACAGUAUAGUCUAGUAUAUGAAGGAUUAGACUAUUUUUUUAUAUAUGCACACAUAUAUUUUCAAUAUAUUUAAUGUAUUUUUCAAUCUGGAUUACUACAGGAUGUUCUCACUCUUUAGGCACAGAACAUGUAAUUAAACCAGGUAAUUGGAGAAUUAGAGAAGAUUGAAAAUUAAUAGGGGUCUAAAAUUUAUUACAGACACAGAGGAUAAGAGUUAAACUUAUCUGGGAUAAAUGGGGUAUAAAGGGAAAGGUCAUAACUGACUGUACAUGAUUUAGGUUCAAAAAACAGUAUUAGGGAAAAAAUUAUUAAUAAGAAUGAGGUAGAUCAUCAGAAUGAAAGAUGCUCAGACGUAGAGUUGCAAUGGACAUGUUAUUACAGCUCCCCAAGAGUUUCAUUUGUGCUACAGAGAGAAUAAGUGACAGCUUGGAAUUCUUAGUGUUAAAGGGGACGUAGAGAAGAUCCUACUCCAUCUUCAGGCUUUGUUUUCCAGAAAUGAGGACUCAUAUAAACAAUUAUUCAGUGAAAUGUUAUUUGAAUAUGCUUUUAUUUCCCAAUCUUUUUUGAACUGCAAGACUUAUACUCUGGAAAGGCACUUGUGAAGCUGCAUAUAUUACCCUGCUUGGAGGGGGAUUUAAAGAGGUUACAUUUCAGUGGUAGCUUGCAGCUAGGUUAUCUGCAAGUUACUAUAGAAUCACAGCCUCGGAGUCUUCAGGUGUUCUAAAAAUUUAUUUUUUUCAGCAUAUUGACAGAAAGGAUCUUUCUCAUAAAGGAAGUGGCCUGCAAAAGAAUAGAUAAAAGUAGUUUAAAUAAAAGACUGAAUUUUGGAGCUCUUGUUUCCCCU
rnacentral:lncRNA from 14 species